rnacentral:rRNA from 2 species
UACCAGCUGGCUGCAACUGUUUAUUAAAAACACAGCACUGUGCAAACACGAAAGUGGACGUAUACGGUGUGACGCCUGCCCGGUGCCGGAAGGUUAAUUGAUGGGGUCAGCGCAAGCGAAGCUCCUGAUCGAAGCCCCGGUAAACGGCGGCCGUAACUAUAACGGUCCUAAGGUAGCGAAAUUCCUUGUCGGGUAAGUUCCGACCUGCACGAAUGGCGUAAUGAUGGCCAGGCUGUCUCCACCCGAGACUCAGUGAAAUUGAACUCGCUGUGAAGAUGCAGUGUACCCGCGGCAAGACGGAAAGACCCCGUGAACCUUUACUAUAGCUUGACACUGAACAUUGAGCCUUGAUGUGUAGGAUAGGUGGGAGGCUUUGAAGCGUGGACGCCAGUCUGCGUGGAGCCGACCUUGAAAUACCACCCUUUAAUGUUUGAUGUUCUAACGUGGACCCGUAAUCCGGGUUGCGGACAGUGUCUGGUGGGUAGUUUGACUGGGGCGGUCUCCUCCUAAAGAGUAACGGAGGAGCACGAAGGUUGGCUAAUCCUGGUCGGACAUCAGGAGGUUAGUGCAAUGGCAUAAGCCAGCUUGACUGCGAGCGUGACGGCGCGAGCAGGUGCGAAAGCAGGUCAUAGUGAUCCGGUGGUUCUGAAUGGAAGGGCCAUCGCUCAACGGAUAAAAGGUACUCCGGGGAUAACAGGCUGAUACCGCCCAAGAGUUCAUAUCGACGGCGGUGUUUGGCACCUCGAUGUCGGCUCAUCACAUCCUGGGGCUGAAGUAGGUCCCAAGGGUAUGGCUGUUCGCCAUUUAAAGUGGUACGCGAGCUGGGUUUAGAACGUCGUGAGACAGUUCGGUCCCUAUCUGCCGUGGGCGCUGGAAGACUGAGGGGGGCUGCUCCUAGUACGAGAGGACCGGAGUGGACGCAUCACUGGUGUUCGGGUUGUCAUGCCAAUGGCACUGCCCGGUAGCUAAAUGCGGAAAAGAUAAGUGCUGAAAGCAUCUAAGCACGAAACUUGCCCCGAGAUGAGUCUUCCCUGAGACUUUGAGUCUCCUGAAGGAACGUUAAAGACGAUGACGUUGAUAGGCCGGGUGUGUAAGCGCAGCGAUGCGUUGAGCUAACCGGUACUAAUGAACCGUGAGGCUUAACCUUACA